rnacentral:rRNA from 1 species
AUUGAACGCUGGCGGCAGGCCUAACAUGCAAGUCGAGCGGAUGAGGGUAGCUUGCUAUCUGAUUCAGCGGCGGACGGGUGAGUAAUGCCUAGGAAUCUGCCUGGUAGUGGGGGACAACGUUUCGAAAGGAACGCUAAUACCGCAUACGUCCUACGGGAGAAAGUGGGGGAUCUUCAGACCUCACGCUAUCAGAUGAGCCUAGGUACGAUUAGCUAGUUGGUGAGGUAAAGGCUCACCAAGGCGACGAUCGUUAACUGGUCUGAGAGGAUGAUCAGUCACACUGGAACUGAGACACGGUCCAGACUCCUACGGGAGGCAGCAGUGGUGAAUAUUGGACAAUGGGCGAAAGCCUGAUCCAGCCAUGCCGCGUGUGUGAAGAAGGUCUUCGGAUUGUAAAGCACUUUAAGUUGGGAGGAAGGGCAGUAAGUUAAUACCUUGCUGUUUUGACGUUACCAACAGAAUAAGCACCGGCUAACUUCGUGCCAGCAGCCGCGUAACAC